rnacentral:rRNA from 1 species
ACGCACGCUGGCGGCGUGCUUAACACAUGCAAGUCGGACGGUGAAGCGCCUUCCUUUUUGGUGGGUGUGGAUGAGUGGCGAACGGGUGAGUAACACGUGAGUAACCUGCCCCCUUCUUCUGGAUAACCGCAUGAAAGUGUGGCUAAUACGGGAUAUUCUGGGUCUGUCGCAUGAUGGGUCUGGGAAAGAUAUUGUUUCGGUGGGGGAUGGGCUCGCGGCCUAUCAGCUUGUUGGUGGGGUGAUGGCCUACCAAGGCGGUGACGGGUAGCCGGCCUGAGAGGGUGGACGGUCACACUGGGACUGAGACACGGCCCAGACUCCUACGGGAGGCAGCAGUGGGGAAUAUUGCACAAUGGGCGCAAGCCUGAUGCAGCGACGCCGCGUGAGGGAUGGAGGCCUUCGGGUUGUGAACCUCUUUCGCCAGUGAAGCAGGCCUGCCUCGUUUGUGGGUGGGUUGACGGUAGCUGGAUAAGAAGCGCCGGCUAACUACGUG